rnacentral:rRNA from 1 species
GCACAAUGGGCGCAAGCCUGAUGCAGCCAUGCCGCGUGUGUGAAGAAGGCCGUUCGGGUUGUAAAGCACUUUCAGUCGUGAGGAAGGUGGUAGUGUUAAUAGCACUAUCAUUUGACGUUAGCGACAGAAGAAGCACCGGCUAACUCCGUGCCAGCAGCCGACGGUAAGUACGGGAGGGGUGCGAGUACGUUAAGUACGGUAAUUACGUGGGGACGUAAAGCGCAUGCAGGUGGUUUGUUAAGUCAGAUGUGAAAGCCCCGGGGCUCAACCUCGGAAUUGCAUUUGAAACUGGCAGACUAGAGUACUGUAGAGGGGGUAGAAUUUCAGGUGUAGCGGUGAAAUGCGUAGAGAUCUGAAGGAAUACCGGUGGCGAAGGCGGCCCCCUGGACAGAUACUGACACUCAGAUGCGAAAGCGUGGGGAGCAAACAGGAUUAGAUACCCUGGUAG